AUUGAACGCUAGCGGCAGGCCUAACACAUGCAAGUCGAACGAGUGGCGGACGGGUGAGUAAUAUCUGGGAAAGUGCCUGAUGGAGGGGGAUAACUACUGGAAACAGUAGCUAAUACCGCAUACCAUCGGAUGUGCCCAUAUGGGAUUAGCUAGUAGGUGGGGUAAAGGCUCACCUAGGCAACGAUCCCUAGCUGGUCUGAGAGGAUGACCAGCCACACUGGAACGGAGACACGGUCCAGACUCCUACGGGAGGCAGAAGUGGGGAAUAUUGCACAAUGGGCGAAAGCCUGAUGCAGCCAUGCCGCGUGUAUGAAGAAGGCCUUCGGGUUGUAAAGUACUUUCGGCGGGGAGGCGGUAUCCGCAGAAGAAGCACCGGCUAACUCCGUGCCAGCAGCCGCGGUAAUUC
rnacentral:rRNA from 1 species